rnacentral:rRNA from 1 species
AUGGCAAACAAAAAAUGCUUCGAAGCACUUGACAAGAGCCUAAGAGAUGUGCUCAGGUUCACCAAUGAGAAUAGUUGCAACAAGCCCUUCGGCGGCAUGACAGUUGUUCUAGGAGGGGACUUCCGACAAAUCCUCCCUGUUGUGCCAAAGGGAAGAAGGGAGCACACUAUAAGUGCGUCAAUCAAAUGCUCAUACCUCUGGCAACAUUUCAAGGUAUUCAACCUUACUAAAAACAUGCGGCUCAAUUCUCUGUGCAAUGAUCAAGCAGAGAAGCAGAAGACUGCGGAAUUUGCAGAAUGGAUACUACAGAUCGGUAAUGGAGACGCAUGUUUAUUAGACGAAAAGGAGUAUGUAAGUAUCCCCAGUGACCUGCUGCUACAAAACGGAGAUGAUCCGAAAACAAAAAUCAUCCAAAGUACCUAUCCUGACCUCCAAGACAAUUUCUGCACCCGGAAGUUCCUGGAAGAAAGGGCGAUAUUGCGUCCAAUGAACAAGACUGUCGAAGAGAUCAAUGAGAAUAUUAUGGGUCAAAUCCAAGGUGACAGGGUGACAUACCUGAGCUGUGACAGUGUGAGCAGAUCGAUGUCUUACAACAAUGAAAUGGAAUUGUUGUAUACUACAGAGUUUCUAAACAAGUUAAAGCACCCAGGAAUUCCGGAAUCACCUACUUGA